AAUGCCUAGAGGCGUCACCAGUCUGACUCCUGUGUAACAUGUGUGUAUCAGUUGGUGGCAGAAAAGAGAAAGACUAUAUCUGUGCUCAAUGUUCUGACCUGUCAACAUCUGAAUGAUUAGUGGCCUAAUAUG